rnacentral:rRNA from 1 species
UUCGGAUCGGAGUCUGCAACCCGACUCCGUGAAGCUGGAUUCGCUAGUAAUCGCGCAUCAGCCAUGGCGCGGUGAAUACGUUCCCGGGCCUUGUACACACCGCCCGUCAAGCCAUGGGAGCCGGGGGUGCUUGAAGUGCGUCGCCGCAAGGCGCGCCCUAGAGCAAAACCGGUGACUGGGGCUAAGUCGUAACAAGGUACC